CCUACGGGGGGCUGCAGUGGGGAAUCUUGCACAAUGGGCGAAAGCCUGAUGCAGCGACGCCGCGUGGGGGAUGAAGCUUCUCGGAGUGUAAACCCCUUUCGACCCGGACGAAUACCUCGCAAGAGGGGUGACGGUACGGGUAUAAGAAGCCCCGGCUAACUACGUGCCAGCAGCCGCGGUAAGACGUAGGGGGCCAGCGUUGUUCGGAAUUACUGGGUGUAAAGGGUUCGUAGGCGGUGUGGCAAGUCGGGAGUGAAAUUUCUGGGCUCAACUCAGAGACUGCUUCCGAAACUGCUGUGCUGGAGUGUGGGAGAGGCGCGUGGAAUUGCAGGUGUAGCGGUGAAAUGCGUAGAUAUCUGCAGGAACACCCGUGGCGAAAGCGGCGCGCUGGACCACUACUGACGCUGAGGAACGAAAGCUAGGGGAGCAAACAGGAUUAG
rnacentral:rRNA from 1 species